GCUCCCCUGGCGCAAUGGUAGCGCGCCAGACUUCUAAUAUGAAGUAUUGAGCUUUCUCAAAACCCGAACUUCGUUGUCCAGAGAUCUGGAGGCUGCGGGUUCGAGCCCCGCGGGGAGUG